CCCUUCAGUGCUGCAGCAAACGCAUUAAGCACUCCGCCUGGGGAGUACGACCGCAAGGUUGAAACUCAAAGGAAUUGACGGGGGCCCGCACAAGCGGUGGAGCAUGUGGUUUAAUUCGAAGCAACGCGAAGAACCUUACCAGGUCUUGACAUCCUUUGACCACUCUAGAGAUAGAGCUUUCCCUUCGGGGACAAAGUGACAGGUGGUGCAUGGUUGU
rnacentral:rRNA from 1 species